UGAGAAGUUCAUUGAACCCUCUCAUCUAGAGGAAGGAGAAGUCGUAACAAGGUUUCCGUAGGUGAACUUGCGGAGGGAUCCAUAGCAAUCAUAUAGAUUGGCGAUCAUUCUUGGGAAUGGUAUGGGGUUUACCCUAUAAACGCCAUCUCACCCUUGGCCAGGGCUAAUUAUCAUUGAUAGUUAGACCCAGGUCUUCUUGCCUAUGUGCCCCUGCACUAUGUGGACUCUACUGCCAUAGAAAGCCACGCAGGUGGUACGGGUCGGCAGAUGGCAUUAAGCCUUGCCGGCCGGGCUCCGCGCUAUCCAUCUGGAUAGUACGUAGGGUCAUCCCUACGAGGAGUCCGUGCCCAUCCUUUAUUCCAUCAUACUUUACCUUGGUGGGCAUAGUCCCCCAAAGAUGAAAUAGAAUAACACUGUACAAUGGAUUUCUUGGCUCCCACGUCGAUGAAGAACGCAGCAAAGCGCGAUAGGUAGUGUGAAUUGCAGAAUUCCGUGAAUCAUCGAAUUUUUGAACGCAUAUUGCGCCCAAUCCCUCGGGAUUGGGCAUGUCUGCCUCAGCGUCGUUUUUAAUGGUACACACUGUACAUGACUCUUGCUUUUAGCGCGCAUGAGUUAAAUCAUUGAAUUUUUCGUGCCAUGCACGACAGAUUUACAGUAUUCUACUACCUUACUGUUCAUCGUAGGCAAGCUAUUCAGCACAUGCUUCAUGGACAAACUAAGGAGUUCUAGAAUGGCUGUAACCAUUUCGACCUGAGUUCAGGCAGGGUUACCCGCUGAACUAAGCAUGCA
rnacentral:rRNA from 1 species